CUCCCUGUGGCUCAGUUGGUAGAGCAUGUUGUUUGCAACGCCAGGGUUGUGGGUUCGAUUCCCACGGGGGGC
rnacentral:tRNA from 1 species